UACGGAGGGUGCAAGCGUUAUCCGGAUUCACUGGGUUUAAAGGGUGCGUAGGUGGAGUGGUAAGUCAGUGGUGAAAUCUCCAAGCUUAACUUGGAAACUGCCGUUGAUACUAUCAUUCUUGAAUAUCGUGGAGGUAAGCGGAAUAUGUCAUGUAGCGGUGAAAUGCUUAGAUAUGACAUAGAACACCGAUUGCGAAGGCAGCUUGCUACGCGAUCAUUGACACUGAGGCACGAAAGCGUGGGGAUCAAACAGG
rnacentral:rRNA from 1 species